AAUGGAGGAAACUCUGAUGCAGCAACGCCGCGUGGAGGACGAAGGUUUUCGGAUUGUAAACUCCUGUCUUUUGGGACGAUAAUGACGGUACCAAAAGAGGAAGCCACGGCUAACUACGUGCCAGCAGCCGCGGUAAUACGUAGGUGGCAAGCGUUGUCCGGAAUUACUGGGCGUAAAGGAUGCGUAGGUGGUCCUUUAAGUGGGAUGUGAAAUCCCUGGGCUUAACCCAGGAAUUGCAUUACAAACUGGAUGACUAGAGUGCAGGAGAGGAAAGUGGAAUUCCCAGUGUAGCGGUGAAAUGCGUAGAGAUUGGGAGGAACACCAGUGGCGAAGGCGGCUUUCUGGACUGUAACUGACACUGAGGCAUGGAAGCGUGGGGAGCAAA
rnacentral:rRNA from 1 species